GGAUGGGUGGCAGAGUGGUCGAUUGCGCACGCCUGGAAAGCGUGUUUACCGCAAGGUAACGGGGGUUCGAAUCCCCCCCCAUCCGCCA
rnacentral:tRNA from 1 species